rnacentral:rRNA from 1 species
ACUUUCAACAACGGAUCUCUUGGCUCUCGCAUCGAUGAAGAACGUAGCGAAGUGCGAUAAGUAAUGUGAAUUGCAGUAUUCCGUGAAUCAUCGAAUUUUUGAACGCGAAUUGCACUCUCUGGUAUUCCGGAGAGUAUGCCUGUUUGAGGGUCA